GCGCGAAAACUUUACAAUGCUGGCAACAGCGAUAAGGGAACCUCGAGUGCCAGGUUACAAAUCUGGCUGUCGAGAUGCCUAAAAAGCAUUUCAUAGCAAGGGCCAGGCAAGACCGGUGCCAGCCGCCGCGGUAACACCGGCGGCUCGAGUGGUAACCGUUAUUAUUGGGUCUAAAGGGUCUGUAGUCGGCCGGAUAAGUCUCUUGAGAAAUCUGGCAGCUUAACUGUCAGGCUUUCAGGAGAUACUGUCUGGCUCGAGGCCGGGAGAGGUGAGAGGUACUUCAGGGGUAGGGGUGAAAUCUUGUAAUCCUUGAAGGACCACCAGUGGCGAAGGCGUCUCACCAGAACGGACCUGACGGCAAGGGACGAAAGCUAGGGGCACGAACC
rnacentral:rRNA from 1 species